GAUGAACGCUGGCGGCGUGCCUAAUACAUGCCAGUCGAGCGAACGGACGAGAAGCUUGCUUCUCUGAUGUUAGCGGCGGACGGGUGAGUAACACGUGGAUAACCUACCUAUAAGACUGGGAUAACUUCGGGAAACCGGAGCUAAUACCGGAUAAUAUUUUGAACCGCAUGGUUCAAAAGUGAAAGACGGUCUUGCUGUCACUUAUAGAUGGAUCCGCGCUGCAUUAGCUAGUUGGUAAGUUAACGGCUUACCAAGGCAACGAUGCAUAGCCGACCUGAGAGGGUGAUCGGCCACACUGGAACUGAGACACGGUCCAGACUCCUACGGGAGGCAGCAGUAGGGAAUCUUCCGCAAUGGGCGAAAGCCUGACGGAGCAACGCCGCGUGAGUGAUGAAGGUCUUCGGAUCGUAAAACUCUGUUAUUAGGGAAGAACAUAUGUGUAAGUAACUGUGCACAUCUUGACGGUACCUAAUCAGAAAGCCACGGCUAACUACGUG
rnacentral:rRNA from 1 species